CCCUUAGAUGUUCUGGGCCGCACGCGCGCUACACUGAUGAAUUCAACGAGCUCCUAACCUAGGCCGAAGGGUCCGGGUAAUCUCUGAAAUUUCAUCGUGAUGGGGAUAGAUUAUUGCAAUUAUUAAUCUUCAACGAGGAAUUCCUAGUAAGCGCGAGUCAUCAGCUCGCGUUGAUUACGUCCCUGCCCUUUGUACACACCGCCCGUCGCUCCUACCGAUUGAAUGGUCCGGUGAAAUGUUCGGACCGCGACAAGGCGGACGGUUCGCUGUCAGCUUUGCUGCGGGAAGUUCAUUAAACCUUAUCAUUUAGAGGAAGGAGAANUCGUANCA
rnacentral:rRNA from 1 species